GACGAACGCUGGCGGCGUGCUUAACACAUGCAAGUCGAACGAUGAAGCGGUGCUUGCACCGUGGAUUAGUGGCGAACGGGUGAGUAAUACGUGAGUGACCUACCUUUGACUCUGGGAUAAGCCUGGGAAACUGGGUCUAAUACCGGAUACGACCAAUCUCUGCAUGGGGUGUUGGUGGAAAGCGUUAUGGAGUGGUUUUAGAUGGGCUCACGGCCUAUCAGCUUGUUGGUGAGGUAAUGGCUUACCAAGGCGACGACGGGUAGCCGGCCUGAGAGGGUGACCGGCCACACUGGGACUGAGACACGGCCCAGACUCCUACGGGAGGCAGCAGUGGGGAAUAUUGCACAAUGGGCGCAAGCCUGAUGCAGCGACGCCGCGUGAGGGAUGACGGCCUUCGGGUUGUAAACCUCUGUUAGCAUCGAAGAAGCGAAAGUGACGGUAGGUGCAGAGAAAGCGCCGGCUAACUACGUGCCAGCAGCCGCGGUAAUACGUAGGGCGCGAGCGUUGUCCGGAAUUAUUGGGCGUAAAGAGCUUGUAGGCGGUUGGUCGCGUCUGCUGUGAAGGCCGGGGCUUAACUCCGGUUUUGCAGUGGGUACGGGCUAACUAGAGUGCAGUAGGGGAGACUGGAAUUCCUGGUGUAGCGGUGGAAUGCACAGAUAUCAGGAGGAACACCGAUGGCGAAGGCUGGUCUCUGGGCUGUAACUGACGCUGAGAAGCGAAAGCAUGGGGAGCGAACAGGAUUAGAUACCCUGGUAGUCCAUGCCGUAAACGUUGGGCACUAGGUGUGGGGGACAUUCCACGUUUUCCGCGCCGUAGCUAACGCAUUAAGUGCCCCGCCUGGGGAGUACGGCCGCAAGGCUAAAACUCAAAGGAAUUGACGGGGGCCCGCACAAGCGGCGGAGCAUGCGGAUUAAUUCGAUGCAACGCGAAGAACCUUACCAAGGCUUGACAUGCAUUAGAUCGCGUCAGAGAUGGCGUUUCCCUUCGGGGCUGGUGUACAGGUGGUGCAUGGUUGUCGUCAGCUCGUGUCGUGAGAUGUUGGGUUAAGUCCCGCAACGAGCGCAACCCUCGUUCUAUGUUGCCAGCGGUUCGGCCGGGGACUCAUAGGAGACUGCCGGGGUCAACUCGGAGGAAGGUGGGGAUGACGUCAAAUCAUCAUGCCCCUUAUGUCUUGGGCUUCACGCAUGCUACAAUGGCCGGUACAGAGGGUUGCGAUACUGUGAGGUGGAGCUAAUCCCUUAAAGCCGGUCUCAGUUCGGAUUGGGGUCUGCAACUCGACCCCAUGAAGUCGGAGUCGCUAGUAAUCGCAGAUCAGCAACGCUGCGGUGAAUACGUUCCCGGGCCU
rnacentral:rRNA from 1 species